GAUCUACUCCCUCCGUCCCAAAAUUCUUGUCUUAGAUUUGUCUAGAUACGGAUGUACCUAAUACUAAAACGUGACUUGAUACAUCCGUAUUUAGACAAAUCAAGACAAGAAUUUUGGGACGGAGGGAGUACUAG
rnacentral:pre_miRNA from 1 species